GCUUUUGGCCAUGCUGGACUGAAUGUGUCUGCUCUUGUCUGUUAUUGGAAGCUAAGAAUUUCCAAGUCUUGCUAGUCUUUGGAGGGGAGACCACCUGCAAAUCUUGGGUGAUAUAGACA
rnacentral:rRNA from 1 species